rnacentral:rRNA from 1 species
GAUGAACGCUCGCUACAGGCUUAACACAUGCAAGUCGCGGGGCAGCAUGGGGGUUGCUUGCAAUCCCCGAUGGCGACCGGCGCACGGGUGAGUAACGCGUAUCCAACCUGCCCUUCACCACGGGAUAACCCGGCGAAAGUCGGACUAAUACCGUAUGUUGUCCAUUGACGGCAUCCGAUUUGGACGAAAGGUUUGGCGGUGAAGGAUGGGGAUGCGUCCGAUUAGCUGGACGGCGGGGUGACGGCCCACCGUGGCGACGAUCGGUAGGGGUUCUGAGAGGAAGGUCCCCCACACUGGAACUGAGACACGGUCCAGACGCCUACGGGAGGCAGCAGUGAGGAAUAUUGGUCAAUGGGCGUAAGCCUGAACCAGCCAAGUAGCGUGCAGGAUGACGGCCCUAUGGGUUGUAAACUGCUUUUAUGCGGGGAUAAAGUGGCCCACGUGUGGGUUUUUGCAGGUACCGCAUGAAUAAGGACCGGCUAAUUCCGUG